UGAGGAACUUGUCCCGGUCUCUGGGAUAACAGUUGGAAACGACUGCUAAUACCGGAUGACGUCGGAACUUCGCAUGGAGUACUGACGAAAGGGUUACUGGAUCGGGAGAGCCUCGCGGCCCAUCAGCUUGUUGGUGGGGUAAUGGCCUACCAAGGCAUCGACGGGUAGCUGGUCUGAGAGGAUGAUCAGCCACACUGGGACUGAGACACGGCCCAGACCUCCGUACGGGAGCAG
rnacentral:rRNA from 1 species